GCAUAUCAAUAAGCGGAGGAAAAGAAACUAACAAGGAUUCCCUUAGUAACGGCGAGUGAAGAGGGAAGAGCUCAAAUUUUAAAUCUAUCAUGUUGUACAUGAUCGAGUUGUAAUUUGAAGAAGCGUUUUCUCGUACUUUAUGAUCAGUAUAAGUUCUCUUGGAACAGGACAUCAUAGAGGGUGAUAAUCCCGUCUGUUACUGAUUGUGAGGUUCGUUUAUGAUACGCUUUCAAAGAGUCGAGUUGUUUGGGAUUGCAGCUCCAAAUGGGUGGUAAACAUCACCUAAGGCUAAAUAUUUGCGAGAGACCGAUAGCGAACAAGUACCGUGAGGGAAAGAUGAAAAGAACUUUGAAAAGAGAGUUAAAAAGUAUGUGAAAUUGUUGAAAGGGAAACGAUUGAAGUCAGUCGUGCAGUCAUCAAUUCAGCGGUUAACAUUUUAUGUUUCCGUGUAAUUUGGUGUCUGUUGGUUAGCAUCAAUUUUGAUUGUUAUAAAAAGGUUAAGGGGAUGUGGCUCCUUCGGGAGUGUUAUAACCCUUAGCGUAAUGUGACGAUUAGGAUUGAGGUUUGCAACGAAUACCUUUUAGGGCAGUUUCACCUGGCCUCUCGUGGAAUUAUAGAUAGUUAAGAGCAUGCUCUUACUGUUUAUGAUUCUACGAAAAGGUUGGAGUGUAAAANUAAUUCGUUAAGGAUGUUGACGUA
rnacentral:rRNA from 1 species